rnacentral:rRNA from 1 species
UACGUAGGGCGCAAGCGUUAUCCGGAAUUAUUGGGCGUAAAGAGCUCGUAGGCGGUCUGUCGCGUCUGCUGUGAAAACUCAGGGCUUAACCCUGAGCUUGCAGUGGGUACGGGCAGACUAGAGUGCGGUAGGGGAGACUGGAAUUCCUGGUGUAGCGGUGAAAUGCGCAGAUAUCAGGAGGAACACCGGUGGCGAAGGCGGGUCUCUGGGCAGUAACUGACGCUGAGGAGCGAAAGCGUGGGGAGCGAACAGG